UGGCGGACGGGUGAGUAAUGUCUGGGAAACUGCCCGAUGGAGGGGGGUAACUACUGGAAACGGUAGCUAAUACCGCAUAACGUCGCAAGACCAAAGAGGGGGACCUUAGGGCCUCUUGCCAUCGGAUGUGCCCAGAUGGGAUUAGUUAGUAGGUGGGGUAACGGCUCACCUAGGCGACGAUCCCUAGCUGGUCUGAGAGGAUGACCAGCCACACUGGAACUGAGACACGGUCCAG
rnacentral:rRNA from 1 species